UACAGAGGGCUCAAGCGUUGUCCGGAUUCAUUGGGCGUAAAGGGCGUGUAGGUGGCGUCGUAAGUGGGGUGUGAAAUCCCGGGGCUUAACCCCGGGACUGCAUUCCAUACUGCGGUGCUUGAGAACUGGAGAGGAGACUGGAAUUUACGGUGUAGCAGUGAAAUGCGUAGAGAUCGUAAGGAAGACCAGUGGCGAAGGCGGGUCUCUGGACAGUUCCUGACACUGAGGCACGAAGGCCAGGGGAGCAAACGGG
rnacentral:rRNA from 1 species